GCGCCCGCAAGGGCAGUGGCUUAGUGAUGAAUCAGGACAAAGAGUCAAAGCCGUAUGGCGUGACCGUAUCGAGUCUCUGCCCUAUCAACUUGAUGGUAGCGUAUUGGGCUACCAUGGUUACAACGGGUACGAGGAAUUAGGGUUCGAUUCCGGAGAGGGAGCCUGAGAAAUGGCUGCUACUUCUACGGAGGGCAGCAGGCGCGAAAAUUGCCCACUCCCAAUACAUUGGGGAGGCAGCGAAGAGGAAUACCAUCUCAACGGAGUUUACUUCGUAGGGGUCGGAAUGAGUAGUAGGUAAAAAUACUGCUGAGUAACAAUUGGAGGACAAGUCUGGUGCCAGCACCCGCGGUAAUUCCAGCUCCAAGAGCAUAUAUUAACGCUGCUGCUGUUAAAGGGUUCGUAGUUGGAUUCAGAGUUAGAGAAUUGAGGUGGUCUUAGGACCAUAAGCCUUAGUUUCCUCUAACCCUGCUUGCGCGGAACCGUAGCCCUGAGAAGCACUUCGGUGCCGAUCAAAUUCGCAUAUGCCAUAUGCAAAGGGCCGUCCGCCGUUAUUACUGUGAGCAAAACAGCGUGUCCAAGGCAGGCUUUGCCGUGAAUGAUAAAGCAUGGAAUAACAAGGGACCGCACGUAACUGUUGCUCCUUUUGUUGGUUUUCUAGCGUUGUUCGUAUAAUUUUCGCAACACCUCCGCUUUUCUGCACUUGUUUUGUGACCACUUCGGAAGCUUACUUGUCUGGAGAGUUGGAUGUUGCGAAGAGGGAUCAAUGGGGACUGUCGGGGGAAGUCGUAUCACCACGUCAGAGGUGAAAUUCUUAGACCGUGGUAAGACGGCCUACAGCGCAGGCAUCUUCCAAGUAUGUCUUCGUUAAUCAAGAACCAGAGUGUGGGGAUCGAAGAUGAUUAGAUACCAUUGUAGUCCACUACGGUAAACGAUGACGCCCACGGAUCGAAUGUCCGUUAGCUGCAUCCGGUACUCCCUUCUACUCCUACGCGAAAGCUGAGGUUACGGUCUCAUGGGGGAGUACAGUCGCAAGGCUGAAACUUAAAGAAAUUGACGGAAUGGCACCACCAGGCGUGGAGCGUGCGGUUUAAUUUGACCCAACACGGGGAACCUUACCAGGUCCGGACAACGCCAGGAUUGACAGACUGAAGCUCUUUCUCGAUUCGUUUGACGGUGGUGCAUGGCCGCUCCUGGUUCGUGAAGUGAUUUGUUUGGUUGAUUCCGUUAACGAACGAGAUCUCAACCGCUUACUAGGAGGCUUCGUCGCUUUUUACCUUGUGAGCCCCUUCGGGGUCCAUGAGGUUAGACUUGUCCUACCUUCUUAGCGGCACCUGGCGUGUUUAUAGCACCAUGGAGCGAGCCAAUAGCAGGUCUGUGAUGCUCCUAAAUGUCCUGGGCAACACGCGCACUACAAUGGCAGAGGCAACAAGUCUGGAUAUUUUUAUCCUACGCCCAAGGGUGUGGGGAAACAUGGAACUCUGUCGUGCCUGGGAUCGAGGCUUGCAAUUAUUUCUCUUUAACGAGGAAUGCCUAGUAGGCGCAGUUCAUCAUACUGCACCGGAUACGUCCCUGCCAUUUGUACACACCGCCCGUCGUUGCUACCGAUUGGGUGACUGAUAGAGUUUGCUGGAUUGUCAUUCGCUCCGCGUUUGCAUGAAGUCAAGCAAUAUUAUUCAUCUAGAGGAAGCAAAAGUCGUAACAAGGUA
rnacentral:rRNA from 1 species